GACGAACGCUGGCGGCGUGCUUAACACAUGCAAGUCGAACGGAAAGGCCCUGCUUUUGUGGGGUGCUCGAGUGGCGAACGGGUGUGUAACACGCGAGUAACCUGCCCUUGACUUUGGGAUAACUUCAGGAAACUGGGGCUAAUACCGGAUAGGAGCUCCUGCUGCAUGGUGGGGGUUGGAAAGUUUCGGCGGUUGGGGCUGGACUCGAGGCUUAUCAGCUUGUUGGUGGGGUAGUGGCUUACCAAGGCUUUGAUGGGUAGCCGGCCUGAGAGGGUGACCGGCCACGCUGGAACUGAGACCCGGUCCAGACUCCUACGGGAGGCAGCAGAAGGGAAUCGUACGCAGCGGGCGAAAGCCUGACGGAGGCAGGCCGCGGGUGUGAUGAAGGUCUUCGGAGCGUAAAACUCUGUUAGUAGGGAAGAACAAGUGUGAAAGUAACGGUGCACGUCUGGACGGUACCUGAUCAGAAAGCCACGGCUAACUACGUG
rnacentral:rRNA from 1 species